rnacentral:rRNA from 1 species
AUUGAACGCUGGCGGCAUGCCUUACACAUGCAAGUCGAACGGCAGCACGGGAGCUUGCUCCUGGUGGCGAGUGGCGAACGGGUGAGUAAUACAUCGGAACGUACCCUGAAGUGGGGGAUAACGUAGCGAAAGUUACGCUAAUACCGCAUAUUCUGUGAGCAGGAAAGAGGGGGAUCGCAAGACCUCUUGCUUUAGGAGCGGCCGAUGUCGGAUUAGCUAGUUGGUGAGGUAAAGGCUCACCAAGGCGACGAUCCGUAGCGGGUCUGAGAGGAUGAUCCGCCACACUGGGACUGAGACACGGCCCAGACUCCUACGGGAGGCAGCAGUGGGGAAUUUUGGACAAUGGGCGAAAGCCUGAUCCAGCCAUGCCGCGUGAGUGAAGAAGGCCUCGGUGUAAGACUCUUCUAGCCGGAAAGAAAUACGCGCAGGAUAAUAACU